rnacentral:rRNA from 1 species
UUAAGUUAGAAAGGGCGCACGGUGGAUGCCUUGGCACUAGGAGCCGAUGAAGGACGGGACGAACACCGAUAUGCUUCGGGGAGCUGUAAGCAAGCUUUGAUCCGGAGAUUUCCGAAUGGGGAAACCCACCACUCGUAAUGGAAUGGUAUCCAUAUCUGAAUACAUAGGAUAUGAGAAGGCAGACCCGGGGAACUGAAACAUCUAAGUACCCGGAGGAAGAGAAAGCAAAUGCGAUUCCCUGAGUAGCGGCGAGCGAAACGGGACCAGCCCAAACCAAGAGGCUUGCCUCUUGGGGUUGUAGGACACUCUGUACGGAGUUACAAAGGAACGAGGUAGAUGAAGAGGUCUGGAAAGGCCCGCCAUAGGAGGUAACAGCCCUGUAGUCAAAACUUCGUUCUCUCCUGAGUGGAUCCUGAGUACGGCGGAACACGUGAAAUUCCGUCGGAAUCCGGGAGGACCAUCUCCCAAGGCUAAAUACUCCCUAGUGACCGAUAGUGAACCAGUACCGUGAGGGAAAGGUGAAAAGCACCCCGGAAGGGGAGUGAAAGAGAUCCUGAAACCGUGUGCCUACAAGUAGUCAGAGCCCGUUAACGGGUGAUGGCGUGCCUUUUGUAGAAUGAACCGGCGAGUUACGAUCCCGUGCAAGGUUAAGCAGAAGAUGCGGAGCCGCAGCGAAAGCGAGUCUGAAUAGGGCGAAUUGAGUACGUGGUCGUAGACCCGAAACCAGGUGAUCUACCCAUGUCCAGGGUGAAGUUCAGGUAACACUGAAUGGAGGCCCGAACCCACGCACGUUGAAAAGUGCGGGGAUGAGGUGUGGGUAGGGGUGAAAUGCCAAUCGAACCUGGAGAUAGCUGGUUCUCUCCGAAAUAGCUUUAGGGCUAGCCUCAAGGUAAGAGUCUCGGAGGUAGAGCACUGAUUGGACUAGGGGCCCCUACCGGGUUACCGAAUUCAGUCAAACUCCGAAUGCCGAUGACUUAUCCUUGGGAGUCAGACUGCGAGUGAUAAGAUCCGUAGUCGAAAGGGAAACAGCCCAGACCGCCAGCUAAGGUCCCAAAGUAUACGUUAAGUGGAAAAGGAUGUGGAGUUGCUUAGACAACCAGGAUGUUGGCUUAGAAGCAGCCACCAUUUAAAGAGUGCGUAAUAGCUCACUGGUCGAGUGACUCUGCGCCGAAAAUGUACCGGGGCUAAACGUAUCACCGAAGCUGCGGACUGUUCUUCGAACAGUGGUAGGAGAGCGUUCUAAGGGCUGUGAAGCAAGACCGGAAGGACUUGUGGAGCGCUUAGAAGUGAGAAUGCCGGUAUGAGUAGCGAAAGAGGGGUGAGAAUCCCCUCCACCGAAUGCCUAAGGUUUCCUGAGGAAGGCUCGUCCGCUCAGGGUUAGUCGGGACCUAAGCCGAGGCCGAAAGGCGUAGGCGAUGGAUAACAGGUUGAUAUUCCUGUACCACCUCCUCACCAUUUGAGCAAUGGGGGACGCAGGAGGAUAGGGUAAGCGCGGUAUUGGAUAUCCGCGUCCAAGCAGUUAGGCUGGGAAAUAGGCAAAUCCGUUUCCCGUGAAGGCUGAGCUGUGAUGGCGAGCGAAUUAUAGUAGCGAAGUUCCUGAUUCCACACUGCCAAGAAAAGCCUCUAGCGAGGUGAGAGGUGCCCGUACCGCAAACCGACACAGGUAGGCGAGGAGAGAAUCCUAAGGUGAUCGAGAGAACUCUCGUUAAGGAACUCGGCAAAAUGACCCCGUAACUUCGGGAGAAGGGGUGCUCUGUUAGGGUGCAAGCCCGAGAGAGCCGCAGUGAAUAGGCCCAGGCGACUGUUUAGCAAAAACACAGGUCUCUGCGAAGCCGUAAGGCGAAGUAUAGGGGCUGACGCCUGCCCGGUGCUGGAAGGUUAAGAGGAGCGCUUAGCGUAAGCGAAGGUGCGAAUUGAAGCCCCAGUAAACGGCGGCCGUAACUAUAACGGUCCUAAGGUAGCGAAAUUCCUUGUCGGGUAAGUUCCGACCCGCACGAAAGGCGCAACGAUCUGGGCACUGUCUCAACGAGAGACUCGGUGAAAUUAUAGUACCUGUGAAGAUGCAGGUUACCCGCGACAGGACGGAAAGACCCCGUGGAGCUUUACUGCAGCCUGAUAUUGAAUGUUGGUACAGCUUGUACAGGAUAGGUAGGAGCCUUGGAAACCGGAGCGCCAGCUUCGGUGGAGGCAUCGGUGGGAUACUACCCUGGCUGUAUUGACCUUCUAACCCGCCGCCCUUAUCGGGCGGGGAGACAGUGUCAGGUGGGCAGUUUGACUGGGGCGGUCGCCUCCUAAAAGGUAACGGAGGCGCCCAAAGGUUCCCUCAGAAUGGUUGGAAAUCAUUCGCAGAGUGUAAAGGCACAAGGGAGCUUGACUGCGAGACCUACAAGUCGAGCAGGGACGAAAGUCGGGCUUAGUGAUCCGGUGGUUCCGCAUGGAAGGGCCAUCGCUCAACGGAUAAAAGCUACCCCGGGGAUAACAGGCUUAUCUCCCCCAAGAGUCCACAUCGACGGGGAGGUUUGGCACCUCGAUGUCGGCUCAUCGCAUCCUGGGGCUGUAGUCGGUCCCAAGGGUUGGGCUGUUCGCCCAUUAAAGCGGUACGCGAGCUGGGUUCAGAACGUCGUGAGACAGUUCGGUCCCUAUCCGUCGCGGGCGCAGGAAAUUUGAGAGGAGCUGUCCUUAGUACGAGAGGACCGGGAUGGACGCACCGCUGGUGUACCAGUUGUUCUGCCAAGGGCAUCGCUGGGUAGCUAUGUGCGGACGGGAUAAGUGCUGAAAGCAUCUAAGCAUGAAGCCCCCCUCAAGAUGAGAUUUCCCAUUCCGCAAGGAAGUAAGAUCCCUGAAAGAUGAUCAGGUUGAUAGGUCUGAGGUGGAAGUGUGGCGACACAUGGAGCUGACAGAUACUAAUCGAUCGAGGACUUAACCAA